GAGGUCCACCUGUAGCAGUCUGGACCUGAGCUGGUGAAGCCUGGGGCUUCAGUGAAGAUAUCCUGCAAGGCUCCUGGUUACUCAUUCAUUGGCUACUACAUGCACUGAGUAAAGUCCUGUAAAAAGCCUUUAAAGGAUUGGAUAUAUUAAUCCAGUGGUGGUACUGGCUACAAUGAAAAGUUCAAGGGCAAGGCCACAUUGACUGCAGACAAAUCCUUCAGCACAGCCUAUAUGCAAUUCAGCAGCCUGACAUCUGAGGACUCUGUGGACUCUUACUGUGCAAGA